rnacentral:rRNA from 1 species
GAAGGUCACGGCGAGACGAGCCGUUUAUCAUUACGAUAGGUGUCAAGUGGAAGUGCAGUGAUGUAUGCAGCUGGACGGCAUCCUAACAGACCGGUAGACUUGA